rnacentral:rRNA from 1 species
GAUGAACGCUGGCGGCGUGCCUAAUACAUGCAAGUCGAGCGAACGGACGAGAAGCUUGCUUCUCUGAUGUUAGCGGAGGAGGGGAGAGAAACAUGUGGAUAAUCUACCUAUAAGUCUGGGAUAAUUACGGGAAACCGGAGCUAAUACGGGAUAAGAUUUUGAACCGUAUGGUGCAAAAGUGAAAGACGGCGUUGGGGUAUGUAAUAGAUGGUUCCGCGCUGCAUUAGCUAGUUGGUAAGGUAACGGCUUACCAAGGCAACGAUGCAUAGCCGACCUGAGAGGGUGAUCGGCCGCACUGGAACUGAGACACGGUCCAGACUCCUACGAGAGGCAGCAGUAGGGAAUCUUCCGCAAUGGGCGAAAGCCUGGCGGAGCAACGCCGCGUGAGUGAUGAAGGUCUUCGGAUCGUAAAACUCUGUUAUUAGGGAAGAACAUAUGUGUAAGUAACUGUGCACAUCUUGACGGUACCUAAUCAGAAAGCCACGGCUAACUACGUG